UACAGAGGGUGCGAGCGUUAAUCGGAAUUACUGGGCGUAAAGCGCACGUAGGUGGCUUGGCAAGUCGGGUGUGAAAUCCCCGGGCUCAACCUGGGAACUGCAUUCGAGACUGCCUUGCUAGAGUAUGGGAGAGGGAUGCAGAAUUCCAGGUGUAGCGGUGAAAUGCGUAGAUAUCUGGAGGAAUACCGGUGGCGAAGGCGGCAUCCUGGACCGACAUUGACGCUGAGGAGCGAAAGCUAGGGGAGCAAACGGG
rnacentral:rRNA from 1 species